UUGACGGGGCCGCACAAGCGGUGGAGCAUGUGGUUUAAUUCGACGCAACGCGAAGAACCUUACCAGGGCUUGACAUCCCCUGACCGCGUAUGAAAGUACGUUUUCACCCUCGGGUGACAGGGAGACAGGUGGUGCAUGGUUGUCGUCAGCUCGUGUCGUGAGAUGUUGGGUUAAGUCCCGCAACGAGCGCAACCCCUACGUUUAGUUGCUAACAGGUGAAGCUGAGCACUCUAGACGAACUGCCGUUGACAAAACGGAGGAAGGUGGGAUGACGUCAAAUCAUCAUGCCCCUUAUGUUCUGGGCUACACACGUGCUACAAUGGCCGGUACAGACGGAGGCGAAGCCGCGAGGCGGAGCAAAUCCGAAAAAGCCGGUCUCAGUUCGGAUUGCAGGCUGCAAUUCGCCUGCAUGAAGUCGGAAUCGCUAGUAAUCGCAGGUCAGCAUACUGCGGUGAAUACGUUCCCGGGCCUU
rnacentral:rRNA from 1 species